GCAUGCGUCUCUGGAGAGUGGCGGCCCCGGUCGCCCGCCAACGGGGAAAGCCGCGCAAGGCCGGUGAAUCUCUCAGGCGCCGGUGCGUUCCGCACCGGUAGGGACAGAGGGAGAGGG
rnacentral:ncRNA from 1 species